rnacentral:rRNA from 1 species
ACACAUGCAAGUCGAGGGGCAGCAUCAUCAAAGCUUGCUUUGAUGGAUGGCGACCGGCGCACGGGUGAGUAACACGUAUCCAACCUGCCGACAACACUGGGAUAGCCUUGCGAAAGAAAGAUUAAUACCGGAUGGCAUAAUUAUUCCGCAUGGGAUAAUUAUUAAAGAAUUUCGGUUGUCGAUGGGGAUGCGUUCCAUUAGGCAGUUGGCGGGGUAACGGCCCACCAAACCUACGAUGGAUAGGGGUUCUGAGAGGAAGGUCCCCCACAUUGGAACUGAGACACGGUCCAAACUCCUACGGGAGGCAGCAGUGAGGAAUAUUGGUCAAUGGACGAGAGUCUGAACCAGCCAAGUAGCGUGAAGGAUGACUGCCCUAUGGGUUGUAAACUUCUUUUAUACGGGAAUAAAGUGAGCCACGUGUGGCUUUUUGUAUGUACCGUAUGAAUAAGGAUCGGCUAACUCCGUGCCAGCAGCCGCGGUAAUACGGAGGAUCCGAGCGUUAUCCGGAUUUAUUGGGUUUAAAGGGAGCGUAGGCGGGUUGUUAAGUCAGUUGUGAAAGUUUGCGGCUCAACCGUAAAAUUGCAGUUGAUACUGGCGACCUUGAGUGCAACAGAGGUAGGCGGAAUUCGUGGUGUAGCGGUGAAAUGCUUAGAUAUCACGAAGAACUCCGAUUGCGAAGGCAGCUUACUGGAUUGUAACUGACGCUGAUGCUCGAAAGUGUGGGUAUCAAACAGGAUUAGAUACCCUGGUAGUCCACACAGUAAACGAUGAAUACUCGCUGUUGGCGAUAUACAGUCAGCGGCCAAGCGAAAGCAUUAAGUAUUCCACCUGGGG